UUCUUGGUCCUUUUUAAGGAGUAAAAGUCGUAACAAGGUUUCCGUAGGUGAACCUGCGGAAGGAUCAUUACCGAGUGAGGGCCCUCUGGGUCCAACCUCCCACCCGUGUUUAUUUUACCUUGUUGCUUCGGCGGGCCCGCCUUAACUGGCCGCCGGGGGGCUUACGCCCCCGGGCCCGCGCCCGCCGAAGACACCCUCGAACUCUGUCUGAAGAUUGAAGUCUGAGUGAAAAUAUAAAUUAUUUAAAACUUUCAACAACGGAUCUCUUGGUUCCGGCAUCGAUGAAGAACGCAGCGAAAUGCGAUACGUAAUGUGAAUUGCAAAUUCAGUGAAUCAUCGAGUCUUUGAACGCACAUUGCGCCCCCUGGUAUUCCGGGGGGCAUGCCUGUCCGAGCGUCAUUGCUGCCCUCAAGCCCGGCUUGUGUGUUGGGCCCCGUCCCCCGAUCUCCGGGGGACGGGCCCGAAAGGCAGCGGCGGCACCGCGUCCGGUCCUCGAGCGUAUGGGGCUUUGUCACCCGCUCUGUAGGCCCGGCCGGCGCUUGCCGAUCAACCCAAAUUUUUAUCCAGGUUGACCUCGGAUCAGGUAGGGAUACCCGCUGAACUUAAGCAUUUAAUUUAAAGCGGGAGGAAA
rnacentral:rRNA from 1 species